GAUGAACGCUGGCGGCGUGCCUAAUACAUGCAGGUCGAGCGAACAGACGAGGAGCUUGCUCCUCUGACGUUAGCGGCGGACGGGUGAGUAACACGUGGAUAACCUACCUAUAAGACUGGGAUAACUUCGGGAAACCGGAGCUAAUACCGGAUAAUAUAUUGAACCGCAUGGUUCAAUAGUGAAAGACGGUUUUGCUGUCACUUAUAGAUGGAUCCGCGCCGCAUUAGCUAGUUGGUAAGGUAACGGCUUACCAAGGCAACGAUGCGUAGCCGACCUGAGAGGGUGAUCGGCCACACUGGAACUGAGACACGGUCCAGACUCCUACGGGAGGCAGCAGUAGGGAAUCUUCCGCAAUGGGCGAAAGCCUGACGGAGCAACGCCGCGUGAGUGGUGAAGGUCUUCGGAUCGUAAAACUCUGUUAUUAGGGAAGAACAAAUGUGUAAGUAACUAUGCACGUCUUGACGGUACCUAAUCAGAAAGCCACGGCUAACUACGUG
rnacentral:rRNA from 1 species